rnacentral:rRNA from 1 species
UACGGAGGAUGCGAGCGUUAUCCGGAUUUAUUGGGUUUAAAGGGUGCGUAGGUGGUGAUUUAAGUCAGCGGUGAAAGUUUGUGGCUCAACCAUAAAAUUGCCGUUGAAACUGGAUUACUUGAGUGUGUUUGAGGUAGGCGGAAUGCGUGGUGUAGCGGUGAAAUGCAUAGAUAUCACGCAGAACUCCGAUUGCGAAGGCAGCUUACUAAACCAUAACUGACACUGAAGCACGAAAGCGUGGGGAUCAAACAGG